rnacentral:lncRNA from 1 species
GAUUGUUCAUCAACAAGGGAUUGAAUUUGAGCAGAAGCACGGGAUCAGUGUUUAAGAUCUGUGGCUUCGGUGAGGGCGGACGAUGCAGGAUCACAUUUCGAAGGUGUUCAGUGAUAGCAUUUUGUGGAGUCCCUCAGUCGCUCUCUCAUUGAGCGUCUUUCAUUCUAUCAAAACCUCAGCGCGCACGCGUGUGUGUUAUCUGGAUUCAUGGAUAAUGCGCAUUCGUGGUAACCGAUCUCACUCACACUAGGUCGCAGAAGGUGGGAUGAUUCCUCGAUCCUGGAUUUGACUUGUGCUCCAAUUUUUCGCUUAUUGUGUGAUUGACGAUUUCGUAUUCCUUGCUUUCCCAGCAUUUUCGUUUCUGUUAUUUGUCAUUUUUUGGAAUGGGAUCGUUGCUCCAGGUGGUGAGGUUACGCAUUGGAAUCGGAAAUGGUAAGAGUAUUACGGCGUCGUAGCAGAGAGUACUGCGUUGUUGGUGGUAGCUCUAUGAGUUUUUUUUUUUUUCUUUGAAUUUUUGAAUUUUUUGAAUUUUAAUUGCUGAGAAGGUAUGUUCGUGUCGGCCUCAUUUGCUGAAGUGGUCUCUUCGACAUAUACUUGCGUCUUGCGUUUUUGGGUUGGUUUUACUCGUGGAGCCUGUUCUCAUGUAGAAUGCGUCAUUCAAGCAUCAUGCAAAGGGAACGCAAGAGUAUGAAGGGAAUUGUCUUUCUUUUCCUCCCUGUUCCGAUCUCGUCCUUGAUCGGAUAGAGCUACAUUGAUCGGGGUCGUGACCACUCAGUGUUCAGUUGCUUGAUUUGUAGGAUUUCUUUGGUGCGGUUUAAUGAUGUUAGGUGUAGUGUCAAUUCAUUGCGGUUCUGUGAGAGCGAGGAUGGGGGGUUUUAGUUAGUAAGAGCGGAAGAUGUGAGGCGUGAAGCUAAGCUGAAAUUCUAGGAAGACUAACUAUUUUUUAAUUUUAGUUUCAGCUUGCAUGCGUAGAGUGGAGCUUUAGGCAUUUCGUUGUCGGGCUUUUUAUGAUAAAUGAGCAGGGCAAUCUAGACGUAUUUAUGGCGCUUGAUUUGAGAUGGAGCAAAGAAAAUUUCCCUGUGAUUAUGUUAAGAUUAAUUUGAGCCCACGACGCUUGUAAUUGUUUUCCACGUAUCAGAAUUAAGGCCUACCUUCCUUGGAAGCAGCUGGGUCAUUACAGUUUGUUGAAGAAAUUAGGAUUGGCUGCACACGUCGAAUGUCUGCGGAUUUGUGCAGGUCCUCGCCAAUUCAACAUCAUAGCCUGUAUUUAGUUUUACAAACGGGCGUUGUGAUGAAACAUAAAGCUCGAGGAAAUGCAAUGCCAUCCAGGAAUCUGAAGCUGAUAGAAAUGAGUAUUUAAUUGAAUGGCAGGGAAAGAGGGGGAAUGUAGUUGGAUGGAGGCGGUAACCAUUCUUAGCUGAAGGCCCUCCAAUUUACGCCACAGAGAAAAUCGCAAGGUGCCUGCUGAUGCGUGCCUCAUUCGGAACCAGGUACUACAAACCUCGAGUCACUUGCGGAUUAGCCCCAUUGCUGUCAGUUUUCACCAUUCUGUUGUGCUCCAUCUUGUUGUGCUCGUGUCAAUGGCAGUAUACUGACAAAUGCUAGGGACGGUCACACAUAGGUGCCAGGUAUAGGUGGUCGGUCAGUUAUGUUGCAUUGCUUGUAUACGCCUGCUUCUUCUAGGUAUCAGCGGAAGCUUUCGAGUCGUUUCAUUACAUUAUUCUACGGGUCUGGAAAGGUCCAUGUCCAGUCCCAUCGGAGUAUUCAUCAGCAUGCACUCGACUGGGCUUGCUUUUUCGGAGCAGUUCAUUAGCAUGCAAGUUGAUUUUCGCGCAUGGAAAUAGAGGCUUGAUGCUGGGCCACGGCUGUUACAACCAGUUUGAAGUUGGUUCUAUAAAUAUUGAGAGCUGAUAAUGUGUAGUUGUUUUCAUGGAAGUGAGCAAAUUUUUGUAUUUUUUUUUUUGUUUUGUUUUGUUUUGCGUUUUUUUUUUUUUUUUUUUUUUUUUU